CGGCCGGGCGGGGCUCUCCGGCUCCCCGCGGGAGGGUCCUCCGCCCCGGGCCCUGUGAACCUCGGCCCCCGCCGGCAGGGCGCAGCCGGAGAGGAGAAGCCGACCCCGGUGGUCCGUUCCCAGCCUCAGGAUGGAAAGCGCCGGGGCCCGUUGUUCCUCUGGAGGAAGCUGCGAUCCUGACGUUGUCUGUGAAAAGCGCUUGUUUAAAGCCAAACUGCCCGAGCCCCUUGUUCAGCUGGCGUGCAGUCACCACCACUGUGCUUUCCCGGUGAACGGCAAUGAGUUAUGCAUCUGGAACACAGCCACUGCUCAGUCAUUAUUUUUGUCAGGGCAUCAUUACUCAAUUUCUGCGUUGUCAUUCGGAAGUAACAUCAAUCCACCUCUUGUCUGCUCUGCCUCUCAUGAACGUGUGAUAGUGUGGAAUCUUGAUGAAUGUACACAGAAGGUGCAAGAAGGGUUUACACCUCGUGGAAUUGUUAUAAGAACUCUUUUGGGAAUGGUGCUUCAUGUAAGAUUUAGCCCAGAUGAUCAACAAGUGGCAGUAUGUGCUGGAAAUCGGAUCUACAUGUUAAGUGCAAAGAAUGAAGCUAUACUAGCUAAAUUGGAUGGCCACCUGGCUCCAGUGACUGCUGCUGAGUUUUGCACGUGGGAGAAAAGCAUGCUCAUAUCAGUGUCAGAAGACAGAACCUUUAAGGUGUGGGACUAUUCUACUGGCCAAUUAAUAUAUCAGUCGGGAAUAAUAACAGCAGCGUUUCCUUUGCUAAGUCUGCUAAUUGAUGAAGAAAACAAACAACUUGUCACUGGAUGUGCUGAGGGACAGCUUUGGAUCUUCAGUUUAAUCAGUGAUCAUAAUUAUCGUUGUGUAACACAUAUCAACUUAAAGAAAGAGCAAGAGAAAUUCUGUAAUAAAGUGUGGAAAUCUGGAAAAGAAAUAGGUGAAGGGCAAAAUGAUUCCAAGGUUUGCAAAACAGACAACUUGAGACCAGAAGGAUCAGUGGAAACAUCAUUGCCUGUUCUCUUAAUUGAACAUUGUGACUUUUCAGUAUGUUUCCAUAAUGAAGAAAAGAUGUAUUCUGCCCUUAAUACUAGCUAUUUUUGGAUAGGAACCUCUACUGGCUUGUUAAUAAUUAAUUUGGCAAACUUUGAAUUAGAAGCUUUUUUGUCUUACAAAGAUUACAGUGACCUCAGCAUUCGGUUUGCCAGAUCAUGUGCACUGACAAAGAAGACAGUUAAUGGAAAGGUUUUGUGCUUGAUCACCUCAAUGUUUGAAGAUAUGAUUGCUGUGUUGGAAGUUAACCUUGCUACAUUGGUGAGAACUCAGAACAAUGUUUUUCUCCCAUAUGGAAAUGAGAACAGUCUAUCAGUUAUUGCCAGGUGUUCUUUAUUGACAAAUUCUCCAUUGCUUAAAGGUUUAAAGAAAAACAGGAAAGAACCUUCUAGUAAAACAUUUGGAGUGAAAAGCACAGUGAAAGAUAAGCCAUUGGUUUUCCAUAAUAAAAUUAAAUCAUCAGGAUAUACAGCAGCACCACGAAAGACCAUGUUUUCUCCUAAUACUAACCUGAAUAAAAAAGAGGUAUCAAAGUGGAAGACCGGUUGUAAAUGUAAAAAUAAAGAAUAUCCAUUGGACGGGGAUCCUCCAAUCAAACAUGAGAAACAGAUAUCUGUUACUUGUAAGCCAACUCCAAUUUUUUGUAUUCAGUAUUCUGGGGAUGGAGAGAUGCUGGCUUGUGGCCUGGCUGACAAAACUGUACUGAUAUUCAAUUCCAAUCUCACCGAUACAUAUAAUGUUUUUUCAGGUCAUGAUGGUGCAGUUAACUCUGUUGGCUGGAGUCAUAACAAGAAGUGGUUAGUUUCUGCGUCAGAAGACAGAACUUUAAGGGUCUGGUCAGUCUGCAAUAAGGAACCUGCCUUAAUUAUGGGUAAAGAAAACUUCGAUAAGACUGUACGCUUUGCGCAGUUUUAUUUUUUAGAUACAUUUAUAUUACUAUGUUGUGGAGCUGAAUUUCAUCUAUUAAAUUUCCAUCUAGACACAACCAAGGAUGACCUCAAACGAUACAAACAGAAGAGUGUUUUCAAACUGGUACAGAAAUUCCCCAUGGCUUCAACAGUGGAGAUUACCAGCCUUUCAGCAGUAAAUGAUUUUUACUCUUAUAUCGUACUUACAGCUGGCAGUAACCGAGCAUUGGAAGUUUUUGACCUCAAUGCAGGCUGCAGCACAGCAGUGAUACCAGAAGUUCAUACUAGAUCAGUCCAUCAGAUCUACCAAAAUAAGGGAUCAUCCUUCAGCACUCAGCAACCUGAAGCUUACAACCUUUUCAUGACCACAGCUGCAGGUGAUGGCAUCAAACUGUGGGAUUUAAGAACACUGAGGUGUGAACGUCGUUUUGAAGGGCACAGUAGCCGCUGCUAUCCAUGCGGAAUUGCAGUAUCUCCUUGUGGACGAUUUAUAGCCAGUGGAUCAGAUGACAAAUAUGCUUACAUAUAUGAAAUGCGUUCAAGCACUUUCUUGCAUAAACUGGGGAGACACACAGAAUCUGUCAUCAAUGUCACCUUUAGUCCUUCAUCUCCACAGGUACCGAGCACAUAUUGCACCCUCAUGUUGGACAACAGCUGAUGGAGGACAGUGGGAGAGCACCUCAUCAAUAUGGAGCCUUGGGAACAACUUGCUGCAUGCUUUGAAGAGACAGCAGAAGACCAUGGAGUAGCUGACAAUCAGAUUGGAGUUGCUCAUGAGCAGAUUCGUAUUUCCAAUCUGACAUGGACCAAGAUACCUCUGUCUACUUGACGAAUCAUAUGCACCAGGAAUGUCCAGCUGCAACUUCUUCAAGGAAAAUCCUGGAGGGGUAUGUGUGUGCUGUUCCUUGAAGAAUUAUGCAUUAUAGCAUUAUGGCUAUCACUGUUGGCUGAUCCUUCAGAGCACACAACAACAGGUUCUGGGAUGAAAGAUACCAUGGACAUCUAAAACCAAAAAGACUUCAUAAUAUUAUCAGGACACAAAUCAGAUGGAGCUAAAGAAAUUCAGGCGGAAAUCAUGGGUUGUUUUCAGUUUAAUGUGGGAUGAAAUUUCUUUUGUCUGUUCAUCUUUGGUAACAGUGCAAAUAGAAGUUUGUGUUUUCCAGGAAAAUAGAAAAGCUGAGAGUUUCUGCCCCUUGAACCUCUUCUGCCUUGGGUGAUGUGAGAGAACCUGGUACAGACAGCUACUAGGGAACAUGCCAAAGCUCAGAGAUCUGCAUGAGAUUCUUUCUGUGCUACAUAUUGCUGAACAGGUUGAGGCAGUCUGAAGAGGAAUGGGUUGUUCAUAAUCCCCUUCUUAGUUAAUUUGGAAUGAACAUUUUUAAUCCAUAUUUGAAGACUGUUCUGCAACUGAAGAAAGCAUCUGAACAUCUAGAAGAUGCACAGAGGUUUAGUGUCUUCUGUCAGCUGCAGUGGUGUAGUGGUUCCUUUUUGGUAAUCAUCCAAGUGCUCCACUUAAAAAGCAUUGCGCUUUUUUAAUCUUUAUCACUUUACAUUUCUGAAAUGAGCACAGUACAGAUUUCUUUUGUAUUGCCUAAUUCCAUUUUAAUAACACACUUGAAUCUAGAGUUUACUGAAAAAUGAAUUAAAAAUAUUUUAUGUUUCA